AUCAGUUCAGCUUCAACAUCAACCAUGUUCUCUGUAGCUCUGCUGCUGCUGCUGGCUGCUGGAUCCUGUGUGAACAGUAUUGAUCUCAUCCAGCCGGACUCAAAGGUUGUGCAGCCUGGACAGUCUUUGACCAUCACCUGUCAGGUCUCUGGUUAUUCUUUGACUGAUGACAGCUAUGCAACAGGUUGGAUCAGACAGUGUGAAGGAAAACCAAUGGACUGGAUUUUGCACCGGUGGGGUGGAGGAGACUUUUACCAAAAUAAUGCUCUGAAGAACAAGUUCAGCUAUAGCAGAGACUCUAACAGGACAGAAUCUGCAGCCUGA